GAGUUUGAUCAUGGCUCAGGAUGAACGCUGGCGGCAUGCCUAACACAUGCAAGUUGAACGAGAAGUUCUGGAGGGAGUCUUCGGACGAACGAAGGGAUGGAAAGUAGCGAACGGGUGAGUAACGCGUGGGCAACCAACCUUACACAGGGGGAUAACACAGAGAAAUCUGUGCUAAUACCGCAUAAGCGCACAGUAUCACAUGAUACGGUGUGAAAAACUCUGGUGGUGUAAGACGGGCCCGCGUCUGAUUAGCUAGUUGGUGGGGUAAAAGCCUACCAAGGCGACGAUCAGUAGCCGACCUGAGAGGGUGAUCGGCCACAUUGGGACUGAGACACGGCCCAAACUCCUACGGGAGGCAGCAGUGGGGGAUAUUGCACAAUGGAGGAAACUCUGAUGCAGCAAUGCCGCGUGAAGGAAGACGGUUUUCGGAUUGUAAACUUCUAUCAGCAGGGAAGAAAAUGACG
rnacentral:rRNA from 1 species